rnacentral:rRNA from 1 species
AAAUUGAAGAGUUUGAUCAUGGCUCAGAUUGAACGCUGGCGGCAGGCCUAACACAUGCAAGUCGAACGGUAACAGGAAGCAGCUUGCUGCUUCGCUGACGAGUGGCGGACGGGUGAGUAAUGUCUGGGAAACUGCCUGAUGGAGGGGGAUAACUACUGGAAACGGUGGCUAAUACCGCAUAACGUCGCAAGACCAAAGAGGGGGACCUUCGGGCCUCUUGCCAUCAGAUGUGCCCAGAUGGGAUUAGCUAGUUGGUGAGGUAACGGCUCACCAAGGCGACGAUCCCUAGCUGGUCUGAGAGGAUGACCAGCCACACUGGAACUGAGACACGGUCCAGACUCCUACGGGAGGCAGCAGUGGGGAAUAUUGCACAAUGGGCGCAAGCCUGAUGCAGCCAUGCCGCGUGUAUGAA